CAGCCGCCGCGGUAAUACCGGCGGCCCGAGUGGCGGUCACUCUUAUUGGGCUUAAAGCGUCCGUAGCCGGGUUGGGAAGUCCUCCGGGAAAUCUGGCCGCUUAACGGUCAGAAUGCCGGAGGAUACUCCCAGCCUAGGGAGCGGGAGAGGCCGAGGGUAUUCCCGGAGCAGGGGUGAAAUCCUAUAAUCCCGGGAGGACCACCUGUGGCGAAGGCGCUCGGCUGGAACGCGUCCGACGGUGAGGGACGAAGGCCAGGGGAGCAAACCGGAUUAGAUACCCGGGUAGUCCUGGCUGUAAACGAUGCGGACUUUGUGUCGGACAAGCUAUGAGCUUGUCCGGUGCCGGAGGGAAACCGUUAAGUCCGCCGCCUGGGGAGUACGGCCGCAAGGCUGAAACUUAAAGGAAUUGGCGGG
rnacentral:rRNA from 1 species